CCUACGGGAGGCAGCAGUGGGGAAUUUUCCGCAAUGGGCGAAAGCCUGACGGAGCAAUACCGCGUGAGGGAGGAAGGCUCUUGGGUUGUAAACCUCUUUUCUCAGGGAAGAUAAUGACGGUACCUGAGGAAUGAGCAUCGGCUAACUCCGUGCCAGCAGCCGCGGUAAUACGGAGGAUGCAAGCGUUAUCCGGAAUGAUUGGGCGUAAAGCGUCCGCAGGUGGUUUUGAAAGUCUGCUGUUAAAGCGUGCGGCUUAACCGCAUAAGGGCAGUGGAAACUAGGAGACUAGAGUGCGUUAGGGGCAGAGGGAAUUCCCAGUGUAGCGGUGAAAUGCGUAGAGAUUGGGAAGAACACCGGUGGCGAAGGCGCUCUGCUAUACCGUAACUGACACUGAGGGACGAAAGCUAGGGGAGCGAAUGGGAUUAGAUACCCCAGUAGUCCUAGCCGUAAACGAUGGAUACUAGGCGUUGUCUGUAUCGACCCGGACAGUGCCGUAGCUAACGCGUUAAGUAUCCGCCUGGGGAGUACGCGNGCGACUGUGAACUACAAUAGAAGUUAGACGGCGUGAGACGUCGCCGACGGACGACCGACGAGGGGAGGUAGG
rnacentral:rRNA from 1 species